rnacentral:lncRNA from 1 species
ACACAUCUCGCUGAUCAGCUAGCCGAUGGAGGUGUUAGCCCCAGAUGUCUAUUGUACCGCGGCAACUAACGUACAACGCUGAUAGUAAUAUAUUCCCAUGAACAGCAAAAAAGAAACUGCCACAAGCUUGCCGCUUCAGCAGCGAAAACAAUCCGUACAGAACUACGGAGACGAACAUGCCGUGGGAGAUAGCGUGCCAGCCCGAACCAUGAAAGAAUACACUUUUUUUUUUUUGCUCAAUCUCCGUGUUGAAUCGAACAACCUGUUCUGAACCAAAGCCAACGCCAUAAUCAAGCUCAUGGGCCUCGAGUCUACUCAAUCUGCCCAGCAUCAUCGCCAAAAAUCCAAGCGAUGGAAACUCCACCUGUAUCUCAAAUAAUAAUCUACCAUACACAGUUCAGGUUUGCACUCCUCCACUAGAGAAACCUCAAGUCGAAGGGAGAUGGAUAGUUUCGGUUGAGCAUUUCAUUACCCAGAUCCGUAAACUUGAACGCCAUGAUUGCCCGAAGGAUACGCGUGACACAUUUUUAUUUGUACAUGAGCGAUGGCAGGCCUUAUGCUCUUGGUUUACGUUCAUGUGCACGCACUGCAAUGAAGAACGGGUCAUUUAAAAUAAGCACUCGAAGUAAACCAACAUCAACGAGGCAGCUACAAUGGGCACGUUAUGCACUGGAAAUGGGUUCAGCUAAUUAUAAGAAAUAUUCUCUCUCCUGAACAUUCCUUGCAUGCCACUGACAACAUUCAGCAAAUAUGAAGAGAGCGUAAGGCUGAAGUGAGAAGACAUUUUGCUUUAUGAAAUGGUCACGGUUGGAAAAGAAGAGCACAGAAUGGCGAGCGAAUCCAGAGACUACACUGGGGAUGGAUUGCCGUACAUAACUGUCGUCGUCGAUGCUGGAUGGGCCCACCGCAGUUAGGGCCACCGAUGCACGUCAAAGUCAGGUGUUGCUGUCAUCAUUGACUCACGAACAAAUAAAAUCCUUUCCCUUUUUGUUUGUAACAAGUAUUGCAGUACUUGCAGUUUAUUCAUGACCAAGAACGAGACUCCACGCAAUCGCGCCUGCUUCAAAAACUGGGAGGGACCUUUAACUGCAAUAGAGUCUGAUAUCAUCGCCGAAGGAUUCCGGAAGAGCCGCGAGAUGCAUGGUUUAGAAUACAGAAGAGUUGUGGGGAUGAAGCUUCCGAUGUCGAACAAGCCUUCACAAUCAGUGAUGAUUAUGGAAGGAUGAUAACAAAGGUGGCUUGCAUUAGCCAUCUCAUUAAGAACUACACCAAGUCACACUACGGCAUUAGAGGCUUAGGAGAAAGUCACGCAAAGCAUUUGACAAAUGUUAAAAUUGAAAGAUUGACAGCCGCGGCAAAGGGAACUAUUCUGCAACCCAUGCGCUCAAGCAGACAACUCAAGAGCUCUCGAGCCAUCUGCGAAAUGGACCAAGACAUGUAUUUGGAACGCAUUACAACUGCUCCCCUCAUUACUGUCAACUGCAUCAGCAGCAAGCAUCAACCACAUUUAAAAAUCUACCGUACACGCUACAAAGAGGCUUGAUGAGGACUGCAAAUAAUCUCGCCGACAAAACUUCUUCGCUUACUGAGAACUCUACCAGUAAUUUGGCGGAAAACUACAUGUCUGUGGUAUCCAAAUUUUCUGGCGAAAAGCCCGUAAAUCGUGAGCGAAGAAGGCCGUACCAAAGACGGUGUGUCGGAGCAGAAGUUUCGUACAACGGUGGGAUAGUGUGGAUGGCGUCCUCUUCCGCCUUUCUACUUGAAACUGUACCUUCUAAAAGUCAAGAAAAAAUGUCUGGCCGCUGCAUCAUCCAAGGCGCCUGGCUUAACUCCUCGCUGGUAGUUCAAGGGGAACACGCUACAUGGGGACAUAUGUUACGGAUCUAAUGCUGAACAGCCUCAACGAAAUCUUGCUGAUCAAGCAAAUGUAAAAAAAGAAACUAAAAAAACUUUCCAUGUUUCAACUCACCGGCCCUAAACAACAUGAGCUCAAGACAGCAACGGUCGGGCAGUCUUUGAAUGAAAGGUGGGCUCUCAAAAGAAGAAAUUGGCUGACAGCGUACAUGUUUGGGAAGGUUUGCAAGCGCUUACCAACGACGCUCUGCGGCAAACUGGUCCAUCGCCUUCUCUACGCGUCACCUGUUCUGACACCCGCCAAUCAGAGUGGUCAAUAAAAUUUGCUCAAAGGAAUUCGGGAGUACGAGCAAAAAUCUAACAACGUCGUAGAAAGAUGCGGUUUGUUUGUGGACAAAGAACAUGGAUAUCUUGCGGCUUCUACCGACGCCUUGAUUGGAAAUGGCGGACUCAUUGAAGUAAGUGUCUCGACAGCAACAAGACAGGCUUGGAUUGUCGAAAACCCCCAAAAUAUUUCUGCCUUCAUUCUUAACCAGACUCAAAAACUGUGCCUUAAGAAGCGACACAAUUUUGUUUUACCAGAUUCAAGGACAACUUAAUAUUUCGAAGAGUAGGUGCUGCGUUCUCAUUCUAUGGACGUCAGGUGACACCCAUAUAGAAGUUGUCCAGCGUGAUCUGAAAUUCUGGAAUUAACACAUGCUUCCACGCCCGUGGCGGCGUCCCUUUUUAAUCGAAAAGCUACCGAUGCUUUGCGAAACAUACGGGCGUAUGCGCCUGCCUUCAGAUGACACAUAGAAUUCCUUGGCUAAGGACAAAUUACUGUGCACAACAAUUGGCAUUUGUAAUACCUGAUAUACUAAUCAAACAUCCAAAUAUUCAAGAUAUUAUUCCAAACUCUGGGUCUAGUCACUGGUAUUACUAUUUAUUCAAAAAGUACCUUCUAUUAUGUGCAACGAAAUACAUAUUUGAACUUAUAUCUGUAAUAAAUUUUAACACUUUUUUGUAUGCCUCUUAUUAUAUCGGCUUUCUAAACUUUUAAAACAGGAGGUAAAAAAUGAAAGCCGUUUACAAAUCCCUGUAACGCCGAAUUGGAGCGCAGCUCUUGAGGAGGAGCAG